rnacentral:lncRNA from 1 species
ACACAACAAUAUAAACAUAAUAUAUUUAUAUUUAAGUAUUACCCUUAUCCAAAAGUACAUAAUCAACAAGACUAAGACUAAAUUAUCACUACUACCUACACUUGCAAGUAUCACAAGUGAAUUGAUCUUCACCAUCAUCAGACACAUACAAAAGGGGGAAUAAAUCCUUUUAAAUUCUUGCAUACAAAAAGUCAAUAUCCUAACUCAAAAAACAACUACAAAAAGAACGUCACACUACUACACUUGUCAUUCUUGAUCUAAUUCUUCACCAUCAUCUGACAUAUCAUCAUUAUCAUCAGCCACAUCAUCUUCAUUGACUUGAUCUCUAGUAUAUGGCUUGGGCUGAAAGUUUAAGUUUAAGCUCUGACAUGAUCCCUACUUUGCAGAAAACAUGACACCAGAGUAAGACUCAAAACAUGAAUACAUAAAAUGUAUCUCUAGUUCAAAUGUAAAUGUUUAUCUAAAAGGAAUAGAAUGAUGAGCUAGUCUGCAAAGCAAGAGUAGUUGACAUGACAAAACAAUAAUAUUAAGAAAAACAACUCCGACCUUAUGCUAAGGAUCUGGAAGGAAACUCAAAGGCUCAAGUGUCGGUCCACAACUCCGACCUUGUACUGUAAGGAAAUAACAAACAUUACUAUACAAUAUUGAUACCUUUGAAGGGCUUAAAUU